UACGUAGGGGGCAAGCGUUGUCCGGAAUCAUUGGGCGUAAAGCGCGUGUAGGCGGCUCGGUAAGUCCGCUCUGAAAGCCCGGGGCUCAACCCCGGGAGGCGGGUGGAUACUGCUGAGCUCGAGUCCGGAAGAGGAGUGUGGAAUUCCUGGUGUAGCGGUGAAAUGCGCAGAUAUCAGGAGGAACACUAAUGGCGAAGGCAGCACUCUGGGACGGUACUGACGCUGAGACGCGAAAGCGUGGGGAGCAAACAGG
rnacentral:rRNA from 1 species